rfam:Daucus carota subsp. sativus cultivar DH1 chromosome 3, whole genome shotgun sequence.
UUGCUUCAGGGAAGAUUAUAAUCCCUCAAAUUUUUCAGCCUUUUCACUUUGUCAGCUCUUUUUCAUUUUUACACGAUUUGCUGAUCAUUUGUGGCUGGGAUAUAU